rnacentral:lncRNA from 1 species
AAAAAAUAUUUUCCAAAGUCCAUGUGAAAUUGUCUCCCAUUUUUUGGCUUUUGAGGGGGUUCAGUUUGGGUUGCUUGUCUGUUUCCGGGUUGGGGGGAAAGUUGGGAUGGAGGGAGUUUACAGGAAGCAGACAGGGCCAACGUCGAAGCCGAAUUCCUGGUCUGGGGCACCAACGUCCAAGGGGGCCACAUCGAUGAUGG